rnacentral:rRNA from 1 species
UCGGGAAUUUUGGGCAAUGGGCGAAAGCCUGACCCAGCAACGCCGCGUGAAGGAUGAAGUAUUUCGGUAUGUAAACUUCGAAAGAAUAGGAAGAAUAAAUGACGGUACUAUUUAUAAGGUCCGGCUAACUACGUGCCAGCAGCCGCGGUAAUACGUAGGGACCAAGCGUUGUUCGGAUUUACUGGGCGUAAAGGGCGCGUAGGCGGCAAUUCAAGUCAUCUGUGAAAUCUCCGGGCUUAACUUGGAACGGUCAGAUGAUACUGCUUUGCUAGAGUGCAGAAGGGGCAAUCGGAAUUCUUGGUGUAGCGGUGAAAUGCGUAGAUAUCAAGAGGAACACCUGAGGUGAAGACGGAUUGCUGGGCUGACACUGACGCUGAGGCGCGAAAGCCAGGGGAGCAAACGGGAUUAGAUACCCUGGUAGUCCCUGAGCGGGCUGGCAAGGCGCAU